UACGAAGGGUGCAAGCGUUAUCCGGAUUCAUUGGGUUUAAAGGGUUCGUAGGUGGCUUGUUAAGUCAGACGUGAAAUCCCUCAGCUUAACUGGGGAACUGCGUCUGAUACUGAUGAGCUUGAGUGCAGGAGAGGAACGCGGAAUUCCAGGUGUAGCGGUGAAAUGCGUAGAUAUCUGGAGGAACACCGGUGGCGAAGGCGGCGUUCUGGACUGCAACUGGCACUGAGGAGCGAAAGCCAGGGGAGCAAACGGG
rnacentral:rRNA from 1 species